GAAACCCUGCAGUAUAACCUUGAAGUAUCAUCACGGAGAAAAACGAUCUCAUCUCAGGGCCAGUGGCGCAAUGGAUAACGCGUCUGACUACGGAUCAGAAGAUUCCAGGAGCCAAUGACCAACAGGCCGGAGCACUGGAGACUUUCUGGAGGAAAGGGGUGAGCAGAAAUCCCCGGAUGCCAUUUGAUUUUCUUGGGAUUCUAAUCUGUGUAACCAAGAAGUGAAAGAAAACAAAAAGAUGAAUAAACAGCUGGCUGCUCCAAGCACACUACCUUAACGUUCAAAUUUCUGUUGUCCACAAGCUGGAAAGGAACCUCAAGGAUGACUUUUACAGACGGCCUAUACCACACAUCCUGGGUCCCAAGCUCUUACACAAGCUUUAUGGACAAACAGAUUUACAAGUGCCAAAACAUGUCACAUUCUAAGCACACAUGUGUUUCCACUUGCUCCAAGGUGUCCAAAAGGAGCCUCCUAAAAAGAGCUUUCCAAUUCACUGAGUCUAAAUAAGAGGAUUCUCCAUCACCACCACCACCAUUAUGCCAAAGUUAAAACUGAGCUGCAGCUUCCCAGUUACGAAUGAACUGGGGGAAAAG
rnacentral:antisense_RNA from 1 species